rnacentral:misc_RNA from 1 species
GAUGAAGAACGUAGCGAAAUGCGAUACGUAGUGUGAAUUGCAGAAUUCCGUGAACCAUCAAAUCUUUGAACGCAUAUUGCGCUCGAGGCUUCGGCCGAGAGCAUGUCUGCCUCAGCGUCGGUAUUACCCCUCGCUUCUCAACCCCUGGUUGAUGCCGGCCUGCCUUUGCAGUUGGCUAGAAGCGGAUCUGGCUUUCCCAAUUGCCUUUGGUAGUUGGGUCAGCUGAAGCACAGAGGCUUGAGCAAGGACCCUUAUUGGGCUUCAACUGGAUAGGUAGAACUGGUCUUAGGACCAACUACACGAACUUGUUGCUUGUGGUCUUUGUCUGGAGGCCAGCAGGAAACCUUUAUACCUUCGACCUGAGCUCAGGCAAGAUUACCCGCUGAACUUAAGCAUAUCAAUAAGCGGAGGA